rnacentral:misc_RNA from 1 species
GGGUCGUACAAUGUUUCCAGUAGGGAACCUGCGGAAGUCCAAUGCCAAAAGGGGGUGGAUGGGUUUGAUCGCAUGGUAGAGCGAACAGUCCGGCUGCCUCCCGAAAUGUCUUACAUGUCCCCCACAGCCUGAAGGCCGAAUUACAACCCUUGAUUAUCUACACUUGUUGCUUUGGGGUGCUCAAGUGCCCCAGAGGACCCAACUCUCUUGCAUUUAGUGACGUCUGAGUACUAUAUAAUAUUUAAAA